GUUUCGCCGAGAGAUGUGAUUGUGGUGCACAAGGGGGCGGGUAUAACGGAACGUGCAGGCGAUACAGCUAGCGCAGCUGUCUAUCAACAAGAGUGAUAGAAAGUUUUUUCAAGCUGGACUAGAAACAACCAGUUUGUCAAUUCUUGCAGACGUAGUGGUGCGGACCAGGAAAAAUGAGCAACGUUGGAGAACAAAAAGCAACGACUGUUCCUCAUGUAAUCAAGGAGGAGGUUAUUGCAGCUGGGAAAUGGGUCAAACUGGAAAAGACAACAUACGUGGAUCCCUCUGGAAGCACAAGAAUCUGGGAGACAGCAAAGAGGACAACGAGAGCAACGAGCAGUUGUGACGGUGUGGGAAUAUUUGCCCUUCUGAAAAAAACGCUCCACAAAGACUCUGUGGUCCUGGUGAAGCAGUUCCGCCCGCCGAUGGGGUGCUACACUCUGGAGUUCCCAGCAGGGCUCGUCGAUGAAAAUGAGAGUGCAGCGGCGGCUGCGUUGAGAGAGCUGAAGGAGGAGACCGGGUACCUAGGGGAAGUGGUCGCAGUCGCUCCAGUAACGUGUCUGGACCCUGGCUUGUCAAACUGCACCACUGCGAUCGUCAUGGUGAACAUUAACGGCGACGAUCCUCAGAACAUCCAUCCCACGCAGCAGUUAGGGGAUGGAGGUAUGGGUUUGUUCACGCAUACACACACACACACACACACUCAUGUUUACACUGUAUAUUAAAAUAUGUAUUGCAUAUUCAUAUAUCCAAACAGGUUUUUUGGUCUGUAGUACUAAAUCCUGGCUUUGCUUUACUUUGCAGAAUUUGUGGAUGUUGUGCUGGUACCUCUUAAUGAUUUCCAAAAUAAAAUUGAUGAUUUGAUGAAGAAGGAGAAUAUAGUCGUGGACUCCAAGGUCUACAUCUACGCCAUGGGAAUGGCUCAGGCCUUGUCCAAGCCCAAUGAACUGCCUGUGCUCAAGCAGUGAUAGAAGUCUUCCCACCGUUAAGUCUACGUUCAUCAUUCCACGUUACUAUGGUAGCCUGGGACAACAUUCCUAAUUCCCAUUAAACAAAACUCACCUUUCCAACUCGUUGGAGCAUCUUGUUUCAAAAGGUGCCUUUUUAAACCCAAAAUGGAUUUGAUGGUCCUUGUCUUCUUGAAGAAGGCCGUAGAUUGCAGUCUUAGCUCUGUAGUUACUUGAAUGGAAUCUAGAGACUUGCACUUGUUAAUAAUAGGGCACAAUCAACCAUUUAUCACCUCUAAGGUGGAAUUAAAUUACUAAUUGCAAAGUGAUGUCUGGUCUGUUAUGAAUUAAUAAACAAGUUAUUUGUA